GUCUGGAGCUGGCAUGUCAGUUAACUGCUAGUAGUCUGUUGUUAUUUAUGUAUUAUUGUCAUUUUAUUUAUUUUCUUUUGACAUCGGACUCGGACUUCUCUUGAACUGAAUUUUAAUGUGCGUAUUGUUAUGCGUUUACUUUUCUACAUUGGCUAGAGGUAUUGGGGGAGGGUUGAGAUCUCACAAACAUGUUUAACCCCGCCGCAAU
rnacentral:lncRNA from 1 species